rnacentral:rRNA from 1 species
CACGUAGGGCGCGAGCGUUGUCCGGAAUUAUUGGGCGUAAAGAGCUCGUAGGCGGUCUGUCGCGUCGGCUGUGAAAACCCGGGGCUCAACCCCGGGCCUGCAGUCGAUACGGGCAGACUAGAGUGCGGUAGGGGAGACUGGAAUUCCUGGUGUAGCGGUGAAAUGCGUAGAGAUCGGGAGGAACAUCAGUUGCGAAGGCGGCUCUCUGGACCAGCACUGACACUGAGGCACGAAAGCGUGGGGAGCAAACAGG